rnacentral:rRNA from 1 species
AGUGAACGCUGGCGGUAGGCCUAACACAUGCAAGUCGAACGGCAGCACAGUAAGAGCUUGCUCUUACGGGUGGCGAGUGGCGGACGGGUGAGGAAUACAUCGGAAUCUACUUUUUCGUGGGGGAUAACGUAGGGAAACUUACGCUAAUACCGCAUACGACCUACGGGUGAAAGCAGGGGAUCUUCGGACCUUGCGCGAUUGAAUGAGCCGAUGUCGGAUUAGCUAGUUGGCGGGGUAAAGGCCCACCAAGGCGACGAUCCGUAGCUGGUCUGAGAGGAUGGUAGGCCACACUGGAACUGAGACACGGUCCAGACUCCUACGGGAGGCAGCAGUGGGGAAUAUUGGACAAUGGGCGCAAGCCUGAUCCAGCCAUACCGCGUGGGUGAAGAAGGCCUUCGGGUUGUAAAGCCCUUUUGUUGGGAAAGAACAGCAGCAGGUUAAUACCCCGCUGUUCUGACGGUACCCAAAGAAUAAGCACCGGCUAACUUCGUG